UUUAGGGAAAGUGAGCGGGUAAUUAUAUGACACAUCAAUCCAAUUCUUCUGUUUGCAUUUGCAAAUCUACAGUUCCUUCAGUUGUGCACAGUUUCUGCUCUUCCCUCAAAAGCAGAACCUUUUUCAACCAUGAGGUUUAGGGACAUCCCUGCUCUUCAAAAACCAAGCAGUGUGACUUAGCUGUUCACAAGGAGACUAGGGAGGGCAGGGGAGGGCUAUUUCUGUUUUUCUUUUUGACAGACCCGUGUGUCCCGCUCCUGCAGCUGAGCUCACAGCUGGCCAUUUCUCAAGUAGCCCUUUGUCACGUGUGCCUCCAUGCAGUCUCCGAACUUGGCUAAUGCCAACAUCACUUUCCAACUAAAUCGCUAUAGUUGCAAAGACAGCAAGCGCUGCUGGGGACCGAGGACGGCUGUGAGGAUUAUAGAGAAGUUUUUACGGCUUUGACUGUCAUAAAUAUCUGGUUAUCUGCUGUCAGCGAGCAAGAGGAGGGUUUCUGAGAAAGCACUAGACCCUGGACCAUACUGAAGUGCUCUUUUUAUGAGUGCUUCCUCUUAUCUGAGUUUGUAUAUGGCAUGAACCCCCUUUGGGGUGUGGGGCUCAAUUCCUUGAGAAAUGAAAGCCAAUUGAAAACUUUUUUGGGGCGGGGAAUAGAAUUUAUCUCAGAAAGGUACCAUAAUGACAAAUGUGGGGACACAUGCACUGUGCCGCUCCACAGGGGGUGGAUGUAUGCGAGCUUUUCAAAGGAACAGCAAUGGCAGUGUUUCUAGGUUGAGGCACUUUUUUCAGCCAGUUCAGUAUCCUAGGUGCUUAUUAUCCAAGCUGAGAUGUAGUAAUCGGGAUCAGUUAAUUGCAUGUGUGGAUGUUGUACUAGCACUGAGCGAGUUUCCAAGGUAAGCUGGGUAAAGGAAAAAAGGAAAAAAACAAAACCCUGAAAUAUUAGUCUCUUUGGGAAAGCAAACCAACCAGUGGCUGUUCUACUUGGUAACAGUACUUGCCUAGCAGUUUGCACGCUCGUAUCAGGGAAAUUGAGGACAUUCAGAGAGCAAUUCAGACUUACUCACUGGUUAGGUUCCUAAGUAGGGUGACAAGAAUUACAUGGUUACAGUACUUAUUUUUCCCUCCUACAUAGGGACUGUGGUCUCCUAACGCAGUGACAAACCUAAACUGCCUAAAACCACGCAAGGCGCCUACCCUUGGGCGUCUAAAGCUAUAAAAUACAGACGCUUCCCUCUGCAUUUGACAGACUGGCUGCUCGAUUAACCAGGUAUCCAUGUGUGUAGUAAGCAGCACAGGUACAGGUAGUAGAUCUGGAGCAACUAAGCUUUACAGUCAAGGAAGCAUCUUUGUGGACGAGGGAAGUGAGGUGCAUCUAAAUAGACUUUCACAAGCCAGUUCCUGAAAUCCCUUUAUUUCUGUAGUAAUUUGCAGUUAUCUUUAGGAUGAGUACUUUAAACCUAAAACUUUAUCACUGGUAGCAUGAUAAAAUAAAUACAUAAGCAACACAUGUUAACAGUUUUAGGUUUGGGUUUUUUUUUUUAAUGUUGUACUUUGUACAAAACUUAAGAUUAUAUAAUUAUAGACAGUUAUAUAUUUUCUUCUGUUGGCUGUCACUGAAACCAAAACCUAUACUAAUAGUUCCAUGAGAAUGUAAUGGGAGGUUUAUAUUGGAUAAGGAUCCCAUCCUUUCAAAUUAUUCCUUUAAUUGCAUGUACAGUGAAUUCUCUGCUAAACACCUCUGUAGUAACAAAACACUCUAUCUCAACAGUGAUUUCUGCAGAAAAAAUACCAGGGAGUUGUUUGAGAAAUUGUUUUAACUGAUCAGUCAUUUCUACAUUAAAGACUAUGCAUUGUGAAGCAAUUCAUAAGCAACCUGGGCAGCUGUCUAAUGUACACCAGCGUGGGUAUGGCACAGUGAUUGCAGUGAAUGCUUUCUGGCUAUGCGAGGGAAUGUAAACUAAGCUGUACUUCCAGCUCAAUGAAAAUCACAAUUUCCAGUGAACAGAAUGACAUGCAGUAUUUCUACGGAGAAAUAUUUUUACAGGAAAAAAAAAAAAAAGAAGAAAAAUCAAGGCCCAGGAUAGAAAGACCUUUUACAUAGUCAACUGAUGAGAUUUCAGAAAAGCAGCCUUUCAAAUUGCACAUGUUGUAUAAAUUACUAAUGAUAGAUUUUUCAUUUGUUUGAGUUCUUUUAACAUAUCAGAAAGUAAGAAACAUAGGGCUCUGCACUUCUGAUGUGUCAAGACAAAAACUUCGAAUGAAGUUUUCUGAGCUGCGCGCUUAAGCCUGUUUGUAAAUGUUUUCUAUGUGUUCUUCUUUUUAUUUGCUAAUGCGUUAGUAUGUUUUCAUUUGCAGCACCACUGCCCUGUUGACAAAAAUUUCUUCGUGUUAUACAGCCAGCGUUAUUAGUGACAAAAUCCAAGAAACAGAGGAGACCUGUCCACUGUGAUAAGAUACAGGUGAUAAUCUAAAAGAAUUCACAAAGGAGCUCCAAACAAAAUUUUCCAUGGCAAGUCCUGACUUUCUUACUGUGAAUUGUCUAAAGCAGUAUCUAUGAAGAUCAUUCACAUUUAACAUGAAUCCUUGAGGACAAAGUUAAGAGUCUGGUUUUGAAACAAAUGCCACGCAUUUUUUUUUUCCUGCUGCUUACCUUUGGUGCCACACUUACAGCACAACAAUGAAGUUAUCAGGUAUGUGAAUGGCUUUUAACUUUUUCCAUACUGACAACCUCCUGUCCUAUCUAUGAAUGGGGGAAGAGGCAGUUUGGAGCCACAUGCUCUGAGAGAUGGAACCAAACAGUGUUUAGUUAGCUUGUGAGAAGUGAGGGGUGGGUGGACUUGCAUAGCAGCCAUAUUGCUGAUGCUAGAUAAAAUAUAGUUACAAGCUUCUGUGCAAGUCCCUCCUCUGUGUAUUAUAAAUCAUACAAUCCUGCAUUCAAAUGGUAAUCAUUAAAUGGAAGAAAAAAAAUUUAGAACUUUGGGUUUGAGGGGAUGGAGUAAAUAAGUAUUCAUAGAACAGAAACUGGAGUGAAUUUCAUUGAUUGUGUGCUAUAAGAUGUAGAGCUAAAUAAUUCUAUUGAACAAGCAAUAAGAUUUGGCUGCUACUGACAUUUACUGUACAAGAAAAUAAAACACAUUCUAUUAUAUAUAUUUUUAUAUAUUUUCUUAUAGUUGUGAAGAAGAUGAAAAGACAGAAAAGCCAAAAGUAUAUCAGACUGAAUCUAAAAGCCAAAUCGUGGUCUUGCUGAAUUCAGUAGGUCCAGCUGUACACCCUAUUCCUUCAUACCUUGUUAUUAAGCACAAAGCACAAUGAGUAUAAAUGAGGAGUGCUUUGCUUCAGUCUCUGACUUUUUUGCCUUUGAUUCUGUCUUUAAUUUUAAAUGUAUUGAGUCCUCCUUCAUGUUCAAAAAUAAGACAGGAAAAUAAUAUAAAAGGCUUAAUAAAAGUGACAAAGAGCUAAUGGAAGCAAUUGGAAUGACUUCUGUGUUGCUCUGCAUACCUACAACACAAGCAGCCUUUUAAAAGGGCGCAUUAUAUGCUGCAGGGUAAUUAUAAUCAAUCAGUGCACUCAAGUUUAUGCAUACUAUGGAACUUUUUAAAUAACGCUACUGUGACACACAUCACAAUAUUCAGACUUUGUCAAUAGAGAGGCUGCAGCUCUUUUAAAUCUGAGCCUUGUUUGUGUAUUGUUGUAUGCAGUAUGAGCAGAGGUUUGAAAUCGGAUUGUGUUGCUAAUGCUUUAAGCACCAUAUCAUCUGUUCGGUGGCUUAUGUGAAGAGAGUUAAUACCAUCAAAUAUAGGAAAUAGUCCAGUUCAGACCAUCAGCAAUUUGCACUACUCUUACACUGCCAAUGGAGAUGUUACUGUUUAUGCAAUGGCAGUUUGAAUGUUACUGCUGAAUGUUGCUGUUGCGGUGACUGGGAUUUACAAAUAGAGUAUUGCUCAAACUGCCUAUAUCUUCUUUUUGAAACCAAGGCAGUUUAUCUUGUAAAGAUGCCUAAACCAUGGUAAAUGAUCAGAGGAAACCAGAAAGGGUGACUUGUCUUCAGUCUUUCUACUGUUUAUCAAUUUUCUUUCUUCUGUAGGUUUUGCUGAAGUCUAGCCAUCUAAGGGCUCAGCAUGCGUUAUUAGGAGACUUGCAGGAUGAGGGUUGUGGUCUCUCAUCUCCCUGCACCAGCAUCAGGUAAAUUGAUGCGAGUUGCCCUCUGUGGGAGCUCUGUUGCACAACGGUUUGCACCUGAGCCUUCACGACUGCUGUCUCUGUGUUAAUUUUUAAUGGCAGGGACUGCUACCAAUAGACUUGUCUGUCUUUUAUCUGUCUUAAAAAAAUCAAUGUUUUAUUAAUGUGUUCAUCACUCUGUUAUGCUGCUUUUCAGUGCUGGAAACUCAGAGCUGUCAGCAGGAGCACCUGUGAGUACAACUGUUAUAAUAAACCAUGGCAAGAACUUACACUAACGGUACGUCUAACUUGGAAUUGCUUCUAUGCAGGUAAGAAGAGAAAAGAGUGGAGGGAGGGAGGAACAAACUUAUACCACCUCUCCAGCUCUCUAAGAACAGGACUGUUUACUGGUCUGUCUCGGCUCAGGAAGUGGAGCAUGAGACCUUGGUGAUUACAACCCCAAGAAUAAGUCUCUUGUUCAAGGCAGAGGUGUCUUGUGUAUUCUUGGGCUACUCACUCAGUUAAACCUCUGUCUUGGGUUGAGGUCUGCUAACAUUUGUGGCUUGUUGGUAUGGCAAUAAAAUCCGUUGGUGGUGGUUAGGUUGCUGUGAUAGCGAGUGAUUGGGAUGCCAUGUAAAAUACACAGAAGUAAUGUAUUACUUUCAACUUAGCUGGCACAAGUAAAUGCCUGACACUACAGCAGUUGCUGCAUAAAGGUAGGCAUAGGAUUUUGAAAGGUACUUGCUGUUUCACAGAACAGACUGUCCUAAGCGUGUCUCCCCAAAACAUGGAGUAGUUUGGGCCUGAGGGUGAGAAGACUGCAGGAAAUCAGUGAGGAGAAAAAAGCUAAGCAGUGAGAGUAGGGAUUGUCAAUGGUGCAGGUCCAGGAAAGGAUUACUUACUGGUGUUUGGGAUCUUGCUGUACAGGCUAUGAGCUGGAAGAGUCCAGCUUUCCUGCUGGAAAGUGCCUUUAAAUCAAGGUAAGCAAAGCAUCACUUGUAGCUGAGACCUGCUGUUGUAAGCACUAAAGGGUACAGGGUGAUGUGUGCCUGAACUUGAUGCAUGCCUCUAGUCUGUCACAGUAGGAAUGGCUGCAAUGGGCACCUGGGAGGUCUAUCUGUUUCAAGCAAGCUGGCUGCAGGCAGUGGGCCAGAUGAAUUGCUCUGUUAGCCUGUUCCCUGCUGUCUGCUUUCUCCAGGAUGCUUCUGCCAGUCCUUAUCACAUAGACAUAUGCACAUUAUCUGGUGCUGCUUGCUGGUGGGAAAUUCUUUGCAACUUGUUUGACUGAUAAGAAGCAUCUGAUUCUUAACCUCAUAGCCAGAGUUCAUACAGAAGGGUACUACAUAAAAUUACUUGUUACCAGUGCACGUGGAAGAAAUCAGGCAACCGUGGGCUGUUUUCUGGCAAAGGAAAGUUACGACUUUGAUUUCUGCAAAUUCCACAAAAUGUGAGGGAUAUUCAAGCCAACUGCCCUUGAAGCCAGAAGGAGGGAGAUGGCUAUGAAAGGCAGAACUGAGAGUGACUCCACUUCCAACAAAGACUGACGUGCCUUGGCUGUCAUAAGCAAGCAGCUAAAAAAAUUCUAAGCAUAAAAACAUCUGAAGUCUUAAUAACUCUAGAAAAGAUGACCAAUGUGCAAAAGACUUAUCCUCAGCAAGCCAAACUCUAUCAUAUCUGCAGGUGAUGAUAUCCCAGAGUAAAUUAAUGAAAUGGUGACAUUCAGGGAAGGAACAGCUGACAGAUUUGUGUGGAUCUUCAAGUGUGGAAAUGAGUGAUAUUUUCCAGACUAACUUGAAACAGGAAUGAUUAAAAAAAAAAAAAA